UGUAGUAGCUAUGUAGGAUGGUCCCUAUAUUGAUGCAGGUGUAGUAGCUAUGUAGGAUGGUCCCUAUAUUGAUGCAGGUGUAGUAGCUAUGUAGGAUGGUCCCUAUAUUGAUGCAGGUGUAGUAGCUAUGUAGGAUGGUCCCUAUAUUGAUGCAGGUGUAGUAGCUAUGUAGGAUGGUCCCUAUAUUGAUGCAGGUGUAGUAGCUAUGUAGGAUGGUCCCUAUAUUGAUGCAGGUGUAGUAGCUAUGUAGGAUGGUCCCUAUAUUGAUGCAGGUGUAGUAGCUAUGUAGGAUGGUCCCUAUAUUGAUGCAGGUGUAGUAGCUAUGUAGGAUGGUCCCUAUAUUGAUGCAGGUGUAGUAGCUAUGUAGGAUGGUCCCUAUAUUGAUGCAGGUGUAGUAGCUAUGUAGGAUGGUCCCUAUAUUGAUGCAGGUGUAGUAGCUAUGUAGGAUGGUCCCUAUAUUGAUGCAGGUGUAGUAGCUAUGUAGGAUGGUCCCUAUAUUGAUGCAGGUGUAGUAGCUAUGUAGGAUGGUCCCUAUAUUUAAUUGACAAAACCAUGAGGGCAAAUCAACACCAGUUCUAAACUCAAUUAAUAUACAUCUGCCUAAAGUAAAAUUAUUAAAAAUAACUUAUAAAAAAAUUAAUCAUUGUCAUUUCAUGAAUGGAGUCAGCUGAGAUUGGAACAUGCAAGGAAAUAAAACAUACUUUCUAAUUGAUACUUUUGACAUGGACAUCUCUUUAGGAUCCUGCUUAUAUACUUCCUAUUUGAUACUGCUUUCUUCAGACAGAGUUUUUAGGUUUUAAGAAUUGAUACAAACAAGAAUAUUCAGUAUAAUUUACCAUUGGAUGAAAACGAUUUUGAGAAAAAUACAUUUGUUUAUAAAAUAAAGCAAACUAAAUGAUGACAAAUAUGUAUAGAUAAUCUAAGAGGUAUCAAUAUUCAAAUAUGAAAAAGGGUUAAUCUAAGCUACAUAUAAACUAGGAUUGAUUAAAACUAAAGCAUGCAGACAAAAUCACAAUGUUGUC